rnacentral:rRNA from 1 species
AUGGCUGCUGCGCCUACCUUCUUCUCCAUCUGCUCCGCUAAGCCACUGCUCCAUUCGGCUUCACCGGUGGCCCGGAAUGUUGGCCGGACCAGUCGCAACCGUGGCUUCUUCCGCCCUUCACCGGGGAUAUAUCCCGGGUGGGAGCCUGCGUCUCAUGAGCUGUUGCAUGAUUUUGACUUGCAGGAAAGCCUAGCGAAUGUUCAGGCGUUGUUGCAUCAGUAUCCAAUGAGUAGACGGGACAUGUUGACCACUGUUGAUCACCUCAAGCGCCUCUGCAUCGAUCAUUAUUUCCAAGACGAGAUCGACAGUGUCAUGGAUGCAUGUGUGGAUCUCGUUCAUAGUGAUGAUUUACUUGAUGCAACCCUUUCACUGAGGCUGAUGAGAGAAGCUGGAUAUUAUGUUUCGGCAGACGAUGUUCUUCGGAAGUUCACAAAUGAUAAUGGUGAUUUCAACCAUGGGCUCACCAAAGACAUUAGAGGGAUGCUGAGCUUGCAAGACAUGUCAUACCUCAACAUGGGAGAACCAUCACUGUACAAGGCAAAUGAAUUCUCGGGCAAGCACCUUAGACUUGCAAUUAAGUAUUUGGAGCCAAGCCUUGCAAGAUAUGUGAGGCGGUCACUAGACCAUCCCUAUCAUGUGAGCCUGAUGCAGUACAAGGCAAGGCACCAUCUGAGUUACCUCCAGAGCUUGCCCACUAGGAACACAUCAAUUGAGAAUCUGGCACUUGCAGAGUUUCAGAUUAAGAAGUUGCAGCAUCAGAGGGAAAUUCAAGAGGUUAAGAGAUGGUGGAAGGAUUUGGGAUUGGCUAAAGAAAUACCGUUUGCAAGGGACCAAGUACUUAAAUGGUUCAUGUGGCCCAUGACUGUCCUUGAGGGUUUGUCCUUCUCUAGAUAUCGGAUUGAGAUCACAAAGAUCGUCUCCAUGGUCUACAUUGUGGAUGACAUCUUUGAUCUUGUCGCCACACAAAAUGAGCUCUCUCUUUUCAAUGAGGCAAUCAAAAUGUGGGAUCCUGCUGCUGUUGAUUCACUCCCGAGCUACAUGAUAUCAUGUUACAGGGCUCUUUACACUGUCACAAAUGAUAUAGCCGCUAUGGUUAGAAAAGAGCAUGGACUGAACCCUAUCACUCAUCUCAAGCAAGCUUGGGCCGCUUUGUUUGAUGGAUUCAUGAUUGAGGGAAAAUGGCUAUAUACUAAUCAGGCCCCCACAUCAGAGGACUACCUAAGAAACGGUAUCGUCACUUCAGGAGCACCACUAGUACUCCUGCAUCUUUUCUUCUUGCUAGGGCAUGAUUUAACAGAGGGCAACAACGACCACAUGCUUCGGAUCAUCUCCUGCACUGCAAAGAUCAUGAGGCUUUGGGAUGACAUGGGCAGUGCAAAGGAUGAAUCACAAGAAGGGCUCGACGGAUCUUACAAGGAGUUGUACCACAGAGAAAAUCCUCAUGGUGAUGCGGAGAAGCACAUGCUGGAGAUGAUCGCGAGUGAAUGGCAGGAUCUGAAUAGGGAAUGCUUCUCUGGGACAAAGUCAACACUAUCGCAUACCUUCAUCGGGGCAUCACUCAACUUUGCAAGGAUGGUCCGCGUCAUGUAUGGCUAUGACGACGAACAGAGGCUCCCCAUCCUUGAGGAUUACACCAGGAUGUUGCUCUUCUGA